rnacentral:rRNA from 1 species
UACGGGGGGAGCAAGCGUUGUUCGGAUUUACUGGGCGUAAAGGGCGCGUAGGCGGUCGUGACAAGUCACUUGUGAAAUCUCCGGGCUUAACUCGGAACGGUCAAGUGAUACUGUCGGACUAGAGUACAGAAGGGGCAACUGGAAUUCUCGGUGUAGCGGUGAAAUGCGUAGAUAUCGAGAGGAACACCUGCGGCGAAGGCGGGUAGCUGGGCCGACACUGACGCUGAUGCGCGAAAGCCAGGGGAGCGAACGGG